rnacentral:rRNA from 1 species
CUACGGGACGCUGCAGUGAGGAAUAUUGCACAAUGGAGGAAACUCUGAUGCAGCAACGCCGCGUGGAGGAUGACGCAUUUCGGUGUGUAAACUCCUUUUAUAUGUCAAGAAAAUGACGGUAGCAUAUGAAUAAGCUCCGGCUAACUCCGUGCCAGCAGCCGCGGUAAUACGGAGGGAGCAAGCGUUACUCGGAAUCACUGGGCGUAAAGGACGCGUAGGCGGGAUAGAAAGUCAGGUGUGAAAUCCUAUGGCUCAACCAUAGAACUGCACUUGAAACUUCUAACCUAGAGUAUGGGAGGGGAAGAUGGAAUUAGUGGUGUAGGGGUAAAAUCCGUAGAUAUCACUAGGAAUACCAAAAGCGAAGGCGAUCUUCUGGAACAAUACUGACGCUAAGGCGUGAAAGCGUGGGGAGCAAACAGGAUUAAUACCCUGGUAGUC